UGCAUAUGUAGAAAUAUGUUGAUGGCUGAAUUAUAACACUAACUUCUUUUUGGCCUUCCAUAACUUUGUGUUUUUUUUAUAAUGCAUACAAAACUUUCUCCACAGGAAUCUGGAGAUAAGGAAAGAAGCUAUAUUUUAGCAUUUUAUGAUAUGAAUUUAUUUGCUUCACUGUCAUUUCAGUUCUGUUAGGUUCUUUCUUGCUAUUAGUACUCAUUAAAAUUUUAAAUAAGGGGUAAGAGAGAGGUUUUUUCCCAAAAGAAACACUACUCUCAGGCAAAGAAAUUUUGUUAUCAGCAUUAUCAGCCAUUAACUUAUUAAUACAUUGCUUCAAAUUUUUAUUUAGAAGAUAAAAUUUUUCACCAUAGAAACAAGUGUUACAGUGGUUAAGUUUCCUGGGCAACCUACCAAAGCCAACAGAUAUACUUUGAGUAGCUUCAAGUCCUUCAGUCUUUUAAGAGAAACAGGAACUGACCUAUAUAGAGGUUCCUAUGCUUAUGUCCUGUCAGAAUCUUAUUAAGAUGAUAAGGGGGUUGAAAACUGCUGGAGCAUUGGUGAAAAGUUGGCUAUGGCCAUAGGAAGCAGCAAUAUAAUUACAUAUAUUAAAAAGUUUAUGUAAAGUUUGGACACAUUGCUCCUUACUUCUACCCAACCCCCAUACAAACAGUGAGGGAAAAAUUGUGCAGGAAUU
rnacentral:lncRNA from 1 species